UAAAACAAAUCUUAAAAAUACAUUUUAGAGUGAUUUUUUUGUGUGUGUUUUUAUUACACUGGGUAUUAUGUUUUUUCUUCAAGAUUUUAGUUUUUUUUUUACUCUGGGUAUUAAAACAAAUAUUAAAAAUACAUUUUCCAGUGAUUAUUUUAGUGUUUUUAGUACUCUGGGUGUAAUUUUUUUUCAAGAUUUUAGUGUUUUUAUUACUCUGGGUGUUAUUCUUUUUCCAAGAUUUUAGUGUUUUUACCACGCUAGGUACUAAAAUGUAUUUUUAGGAUUUGUUUUAAUGCCCAGAGUAAUAAAAACACUACAAAAAAAUCACUCUAAAAUGUAUUUUUAAGAUUUGUUUUAGAGUGGACAAUGUGUGUUAAAAGCUUAAUUAUUGAAAUACAUUUAAAAACAACUAAACAUGAUCUUUAGCCUCCAUGUUUUAUUGAUAUUUUUGUCAUUUUGUGUAUCAAAGUUGGCUUCUUUUUACACUUGAAUGAGAAAAUGACACCUAAAAUGACUUGAACUCAAGUUUAAGGAAGGAAAGUGCUUGUCGUGUGACGACCUAAGAAUGUGGCCAUUUGAGUUGGCUUCUUUUUACACUUGAAUGAGAAAAUGACACCUAAAAUUACUUGAACUCAAGUUUAAGGAAGGAAAGUGCUUGUCGUGUGACGACCUAAGAAGGUGAGCUCCCUCAUUUCCAAAAUGAAGUCCUUGUUGUAGUAAUUAUAUACUUUUUUAGUGUUUUUAUUACUCUGGGCAUUAAAACAAAUCUUGAAAAUA